rnacentral:rRNA from 1 species
AUGAUUUGUUCUGACAUCCAAAAGGACCUUGCUACAACUUGUGCGAUGGAGGUAACCAAAGUUAUUAAGAAUGACAUUGGAGAUAAGAAUUUCUCAAUACUUAUUGAUGAGGCUAGAGAUUGUUCAAUAAAGGAGCAAAUGGCGGUGAUUUUGAGAUUUCUAGAUGAUCAUGGAGUGCUCCAAGAGAGAUUCCUUGCCAUUAAGCACAUCACAGAUUGCACAUCUGCUGGAAUUAAAGAAGCUUUAGUUGAUGUGUUGGAAUAUCAUGGUUUGUCAAUUUCCAGCCUACGUGGUCAGGGUUAUGAUGGGGCUUCAAAUAUGAGAGGGGAGUUCAAUGGUUUGCAAAAAUUGGUUAGAGAUGAAGCUCCGUAUGCAUUCUAUGUUCAUUGCUUUGCUCACCAGUUACAAUUGGUGGUUGUCACCGUUGCUCAAUGUAGUCCUGCUAUUGCUGAUUUCUUCAAUUAUAUUCCCUUGAUAGUGACUCAAGUGUGUUCAUCUUGUAAAAGGAAAGAUGCAUUACUUGCCAAACAUCAUGAUGAAUUGUUAGAUUUGAUGGAGAAUGGAAAGAUUUCAGCCGGUACCGGGUUGCAUCAAGAAUCAAACAUAACAAGACCAGGAGAUACUCAUUGGGGCUCACACCUCAAAACCUUGCUUCGUAUAUUCACAAUGUGGAAUGUUGUGGUGGAUGUACUAGGAAUUGUUGUGGCUGAUGCUCGGGAACACACAUGCCAAGGUGGAGCUAGAGGUUUGCUUAAAAACAUGGGAUGCUUUGAAUUUGUGUUCAUCAUGUUCUUCUUAAUAAACUUGUUGAGCAACAAAAAUCAACUAUCCCAAGCUUUGCAAAGGAAGAAUCAAAAUAUCGUUGAGGCCAUGCGUUUGAUCUUGGAUGUGAAAGAAAGCUUGCAGGACAUGAGGGACAAUGGUUGGGAGCCUUUAUUUUGCCAAGCCAAGAACUUUUGUGAAACACAUGAUAUUGAUGUGCCAAACAUGGAUGAUCUUGUUGGAACAAUGGGCCAAUCUGUUCGCACUAAGAAUAAGGUGACUCGGCUUCACUAUUACAAGGUUAGCAUAUUCAAUGUUGCCAUUGAUGCAACUAUCACCGAGGUGAAUCGCCGAUUCAAUGAAGUUUCCACCGAGUUAUUGGAUUGCAUGUCUUGUCUUAAUCCAGCAAACAACUUUGCAAAGUUUGACGUUGAAAAACUUAUUCGUCUUGCUGAAAUUUAUGAUGAGGACUUCACAGAAGCUGACCGGUUGUUGCUAAGAGUACACCUCCCCAGAUUCCUUAUGAACAUUAGGAGAAGUGAUGAAUUUAAUGGAUGCCGGGAUAUGUCCACACUUGCUCGUUUGAUGGUUGAAACAGCGAAACAUACAAUUUUCCAAUUGGUAUAUCGCCUCAUUGAGUUGACACUAAUUCUUCCUGUAGCAACUUCAACAGUUGAGCGAAUAUUUUCAGCAAUGAAGAUCAUCAAGACAGAUUUGCGCAACAAACUAUCAGAUGAAUGGCUAAAUGAUUUAAUGGUGUGCUAUUGUGAGAAAGAGAUAUUCAGAAGCAUUCACGAUGACAAAAUCAUGAUACAAUUUCAGAAAAUGAGUGAUCGGAAAGGACAUUUGCCUUAUGAGUUUAAUGUGAUUCCUUAG